UGGGGGUGUGGAAUCUUAGCCACUGGACCACCAGGGAAGUCCCUCUUUCAUAAUUUCAAUGUCAUUUUUUUGCAAACCUUAUCAAGCUGUUAAGAUUAACUGAUUUGGUACUCUGCCAGAUCCAUCCUGCUAAUUAUAGUUGCUGAGUCCAAUUGCUUCAUUUUAUUGGCCUCUGUUCACUUUAGAAAGGGGUUGGAAUAAAUAGCCUUUAGCUUCCCAAUUGAUCUCUGAAGAUGCACUAUUAAAAUAAUGUUUUGAAAACAGUUAAUUCAUAACUAUGUAAAUUUCUAUUUUUCAUCUGUAAAAAAAUUAAUAAAAAUGAUUAACUACUAGCUAUGUAAAUUCUGUUUCCUCAACUAUAAAAUGGAAAUAAGUGACUACAUUUAAUAAACUUGAUGUGAAUUUUGACAUGUUAUAGAAGACUCAAUUACUGGUAACCUAUGAUUUCUGAGAGGAAAAAGGCAGAGAGGACUAGGAAAGGCUCAAUGGAAGAGUGAUAGCUGAUCUCAGCCUUUGAUGAAUACAUUUUGAUAGCUGGUAACUGAGAAUUAUAAUGGGUGGACAUUCCAAGCACAUGAAAGGGCAUGAGAAACAUUGCUAAUGUGGAAAACAGCAAAGCAAGUCCUGGAAAUAUUAAACAAUCUAUGUUCAGUUGACAUAUAAAGUAUAUGCUCUAAGUUAGUGGUAGAUUAAACUUGAAAAGUAGAAAGUGAACAAAAUAUGAAAGACCUUGAAUAAUACAGUAAGAAGUUCAGACUGUUCAAGAACUAAAGAAUGUUAGUGCAGCAAUGAGAUAACCAAAAUUGUCAUUCAGAUUUGUCUGGGAGAUAUAAAUAGGGAUUGCAUCUUUAUACAAAGACCACAUUCUGCAUCGCUCCAUGAUCUCAAAAACUUUGCUCUGUCAGUCUCCUUACUGGAUUAAUUCACUCAGCAACCCAAGUAACCAUUUAGCUGUUUCCACUAAAUGGAGUUAGGGAGAAUAAAAACUGGUUCUUCCCUGGUGGUCCAGAGGUGAAGAAUCUGUCUCACAAUGCAGGGGACGUAGGUUUGAUCCCUAGUCAGUGAACUAAGAUCCAACUGCAUGACAUGGAGCAACCAAGGCCGUGUGCUACACAGUCUCUGUGCACGAUGCAAUAAAGAUCCAAUGUGCUGCAACUAAGACCUGAUACAGCCAGAUACAUUGCUUUUUAGUGAUUCUGGUUAUAUGUGAAAUGGAUGUCUGCAAAGGGUAGAUGACAGCCCUACUUUUCGACUGUCAGUACAACUGAAGUAAAAAAUCCUAACCUGCUCUCUGCUCUACUUCUGUCUGUGCUUACAUUUCAUUUUGCCCUUGGAAAUGCCAGUUGUGUCAUGAACACUGCAAAUGUGUUAAACCUCAACUUGAAAGGUUCUGCCUCCAUUUUUCGCCUUAAUUUAACCAUGCUUUUUCUAAGAAUUUCUCUUCCUCUCUAGGCCUUUAGAGUUGAUGUUGCUUAUUUCACAUGCUUCACAUCCAUGGAGCCCAGAGAAAGGGUUUGACUAUGUCACAAGGACCAUGAGAAAGGAAGUAAUCCAGACCUAAUCUGAUGUGACAUCUGGACCUGAAAUAAUGAGCUGAAAUCUCUGUCUAACACAAUGAAAAUGAAGUCAAUUGGAAAGUUGUUUACCCUGUAAAUAGACUGCCUCAAGAAGAAUCCAUGUGAAACUCUUAAGUGACUGCAGCUUUGAAAAAGAACUACAGGACCAAGGAGUUUGUCUUCGUGCUUCAACAGAGGAUCACAUCCAGCCUGAUCAGUCCACAACCUGCUACUGGGGAAAUGACACAGCACUAGAAUGUUAAUGCUGGAGCCAAAGUUCUCUCCUAGAACUCGGCUGAGCCCUGGGGCCUCCCGAACCUUCUGAAGGAUGAGGAUGGUGCAAUCUCCAGGAAUGCACAAGGAAGUGACCCUGUGAAAAAGAAUAAAGUAAUAACUUUUUGCCUUAAGAGAUUAAAGCACAUACAACUAUA